rnacentral:rRNA from 1 species
GUUGAACGCUGGCGGCAUGCCUUACACAUGCAAGUCGAACGGUAGAGUAGCAAUACUCGAGAGUGGCGAACGGGUGAGUAACAUAUCGGAACGUGCCCAAUCGUGGGGGAUAACGUAGAGAAAUUUACGCUAAUACCGCAUACGAUCUAAGGAUGAAAGCGGGGGAUCGCAAGACCUCGCGCGAUUGGAGCGGCUGAUAUCAGAUUAGGUUGUUGGUGAGGUAAAAGCUCACCAAGCCGACGAUCUGUAGCUGGUCUGAGAGGACGACCAGCCACACUGGGACUGAGACACGGCCCAGACUCCUACGGGAGGCAGCAGUGGGGAAUUUUGGACAAUGGGCGCAAGCCUGAUCCAGCAAUGCCGCGUGCAGGAUGAAGGCCUCGG